rnacentral:rRNA from 1 species
UAUUAUUCCAAGAUAAAUUUAGACCCUGGGUUAGUAAUAGAUAUUUACUUAAAAGCUAAAAAAUUUGGCGGUAGUUUAAUCUCACCAGAGGAACUUGUUUUUUAAUCGAUACUCCGCGAAUUAUCUUGCUUGUUUUAGUAUAGUUUGUAUACCAUCAUUAUCAGGUAAUUUUAAAAGAAUAAAUUACUUGUCUUAGUUGUCUAGGAAAAUUAGAUCAUGGUGCAGCUUAUAAAUAAGUUAAAAUGAGUUACAAUAAGUUGUCUUAUAUGGAUAGUUGAGGGAACCCUCAUUUAGAAAAAGGAUUUGGUAGUAUUUUAAGUUUAACACGCUUAAGAGAUUAAAGCUCUAAAUUAUGUACAUAU